GUCAGGAUGGCCGAGUGGUCUAAGGCGCCAGACUCAAGUUCUGGUCUCCAAUGCGGAGGCGUGGGUUCAAAUCCCACUUCUGACA